AUCUAUUGAUCUCAAUCUUAAUUUCUAGAAAUCACAAUAAAGUAUAAUGAGUAUAAAAUUCAAUAAGCAAACUAGUUUUUCAUAUACAUACUUAUAAAUAAUGUAGAAAAUACAAGAUAAAGUGAGAAUUAUAGCAAAUGGAGCUCAAAUUUGGAUUCAGAGCUAUCAAAUUAGGGGGAAACCCUCUAUUUAUAGAUACAAUGGGUAAAUGAUGGCCAUCAGAUGAAAACAAUUCAUACGCUCAAGAUUGCGCCACGUGGCAAGUUUUGAUUGACUAGAAUGCAUCAUCAGUCAACACUACAUCAGUGUUUCAGUCCAAUAAGAUGCUGCCACAUCAUUAAUCAACACCACAUUAGUAUUACAGUCCAAUAGCAUCUUGCCACAUUAUUGGUCAACGCCAUAUAAUCAGUCAAUGCCACAUAAUCAGUUAAUUCUACAUCAUUGGUCCAAUAGAAUGUUGUCACGUCAUCGGUCAAUGCCACAUCAUCGUGCCAUAUAUGUGAACAGUGCCAUACUUGUGAAUAGUACCGUAUACUUGAAUAAUAUUGUAUAAGUGAACAAUACCAAAUACCUUUUUGUGAUCCUAAAGUUUUCGACUAUUCCGAGUUAAAAAAUGCCAUCCGUUUUGCUGUCUGAUUUCUUGUUAGUCAUGAAAUGGCCAAAAUAUCUCAAAAAUACUUAAAUUAUAAUAAAACACGCAUAAUAAAGUCUUAGAUGAUUUAAACACAUAAAAGUGGAAAUAUUAGUGAGACUUGGAGUAUAAAAUGACAAUUUUACCCCGUAUAAAUAUGCAUUCUUCACUACUCAACACACCUCCCAAUCAGCUUAUUACUAUUUACUGGUCCUUAGCAAAUUAAGCGAUAAAAUCUAACAAAAUUCAAAUUGAAACAUGCUUACCAAAUAAAUGAACUUUUUGAAAAAUUGUAUUCUUCCCAUUUGCUACUCAACAAUUAAUAAAAAAUUCAGCUACCCAUCUUUAGUGCUUAGUAGUGUUUAACAAAAUGAUUAUGGGGUUUGGUCAAAAUAAAGCAAUACUUUCAUUCUUACCGUCUCAUUGGAGUUUCUUCCGUAGGUAGCAAGUUUAUUUAUAUUAUAUCUCUAACCUACUCUAACUGUUUUAUGCGAAUACUCUCUACUUGCUAAGACAUGAGGCCCGAUUACUAAGUAAGAGUUCGCACAAUCUUGAUCAGCUCUCACUGUUUGACAUGAAUAUUCUCUGCUUACUAAGGCAGGAGACCCAUUUACUAAGUGAGAAUGUCUUUUUUUUUUCUUUUUCUUUUUUGGUAAAAUGACCACUACCUUUAGGUGUUGCUCACAAAUGAAACGAAAUGAUUAGGUAUUACAAAAUCUCAACUUACCACCAUCAUCACUUUUCGUGUGUGUGUAUCUAGAUUGGUUUGUUGGAUCACUUAAGAUGGCCAAUGUAGACAAAAAGGGUUAGCCAAUAACAUUAGAAAAUUUUCAAAAAUUUAGUUUUUUUUACUACUAAAUGCCUAGACUAGGAAGAUGUGUUUAUAGAGUAACUAAACAUCAUAUUCACCCAUCUUUGACUAAAAAAUUUAGAAAUAAUUAGUAAAAAUACGGAAGCACAACUAUUUUUUAUUCUACAUUUGUCAACUAUUCACUCCCCUCCAAUUAGAACGAAAUAUUGUCUUCAAUAUCUUGAAAGAAAGAAAUAGAAUUUAGAAGAUAUCACCUGAAAAUUGUAAUAGAAAAUAUUUACAAACGGAGAGUUAAAUUUAAUUUGUACUUUUUACUACUAUCGCUACUAUCAUUAGUCGACUAAUCCAAUGUAAGAGUCUUUGGAUCUAGAUCUGGUUCUAAUAUGUAAACUUUUAAAAGAUCAAGUAACUCAUUAGUAGUAAGAUCACAAAUAUAACUCGUGGCUCAUUUAUUCAAAAGCAAACAGUAAAAAGAAACAAAUAGUGAUUAGAUAGAAUCACACCAUUAAAAGCAAUAAUGCAAACAAUAAAUCAAAAGGAUAUGUACUGGUAGUUGUGAUUGUAGCUCAUAUCUUCCUCUGAUUUUACGUUUAGAAAUGACUUGAACGCCCUCUAUGGGUCGAGGAUAUGCUUCCCAUCCAGUUUUCUUAUAAACUAGCCAACAUGGUUGUUUACAGUCAGAAACCUAAGACUGUAUCGUGCACAUUCUUUUUAGAAUAAUGGUCAUAAGUAGGAAAUUGCACGCUGUACAUAUCUACUGAGAUGCGUUUCAAGAGAUAAAAAGAUAUCAUCCAAUGACUUAUUAUUCAAGCCAUCCCUAAUGAAUUUAAUCUUAUCUUCCUUUUUAUUAGACAUCAUUCCCAAAGAAGUGCAUGAUUUUUUUCUAGCAUUGCAUUCUAGAACACUUGUGACAAGAAAUUGGUAGCAGUGCAACUCUUCGUUUUCUUGCAUAAUUUUCUUUCCCAUAACUAGGCAUAUAAGCAACAUAUUUAAAAGGUAAUUCCCCUGUUAAUCGUACUUUGGCUUCAAUUAACCAACAAAUGUCGAUAGAGAUGUUAUUCUUCACGAGUAGGCACAUACGUUCGGACCAAACUUUAUAAAUUGUGAGAAGUGCAUUUUGAGGAAGAGAGGGAAAUUGCUUGCAAAGCUUUGCAAGAGAUGUGUUCUUAUCCAUACCUUGGCUGGAGAAUAUCAGUUAUUGUGGAAAACUAAAAGAACCAACUUCAAUAGUCAUGGGGUACUCUUAUCCACCAAUUAAUCGGGCUGACAAAUGAUAAAAACACAUGUGAAAGCAAACAAAAAAUAAAAACCCACUAUGUAGAAAGUGGGAUGUUAACUCACCGUCAUCCUCUUAUUGAAUUUACCUUAAGUUCUAAUUGGAUUUCAUAGAUACCACCUUUUAUUUCACUGAGUUAUCUUUGUAGAUCUUCAACAUUGGAUAUUAAUGUUGGUGGUCGUAGAUCCUAAACAGGAUGUGAUUGACAACAUUAGGUGACGCUUUACACAUAGAAGUCACUUGAGGUGAUUGAAGAGGAUUUGUCUCACUGAGCUACUCAUGAUUUAUAACACAAGUGAUGAGAGAGAUUUAUAUCACAAGUGACGAGAGAGAAAAUAUAAUUGUUAAAUAACACACUUUAUAGGAAACAAACAAAUUAAUUAGUAAAGAAAAAAUAAAAAAAAUUAAAUCACCGAAAAAAAUGAAAAUAGUUUUAGUCCAUAUUUGGUGGGUCACUUACAUCUAUUGCGCUGUUUUCUCCAUGUGGUUGGUACUCGUGAUAUGACUUUAUAUCUCUGACUAUUAACUUUAAAAAUUACACUAUUAUUUGGAUUCUUAAGUUUAAUGGCCCCAUAUGGAAAAAUAAUGUGGACAAUAAAUGGACUAGACCAUCGAGAGUGAAUUUUACCUAGGGAGACGUGCAAGCGAGAAUUGAAUAAAACUACUUUAUGACUUAAUGUGAAUGAUUUUCUCAUAAUUUGCUUGUCAUAAAAGACUUUCAUCCGCUUUUUGUAAUCCUUAGCAUUUUAAUCAUUGUGAAGCCCCUCAAGUUCUACCAACUGUAAUCUCUUUUUUGAACAACAAAUGGGGUAAAUAAUACCUGCAUUGUUUUGCUUGUCGUCAAGGUAGGAUGAGAUGAUUUCUGCCAAUUGUUUUCUUCUCCCAAGAAUGCAUGCUCUAAAAUGUUAGGUAACGGAUUGUGCAUGAAUUUUGGUGAUGAUUCCGAUGAUGGGAUAAAAUUUUCCUCUGAUGGUGUCAAUUGCUCUAUCAUUGACUUCCAGUUGUCAAUAUCCAUACGUGCUAAUGAAUGCAGUAAGGCAUUGACUUGAUUAAUUGAUUUGUUAUUAUUAAAAUUCAAAUCAAAGUGAGUUAAACAUGUUUGUAGAAGGUCAUCACUGAGGUUAAAAUGACAAGUAUGAUAAAUUAAUUCUUCAAUUAAAUCCACAUCUACAAUUCCUUUGUCUUUAUGAGGGGUUUGCUUGACAAUGUUAAAGAUAUUCAACGCCAUGGUCAUGUUGCCAAACGACAACUACAUAUUUCUAGUCCUGCAUUGAAUGUGUGCAUCAACAGUUGCCAAGAAAGGUCGACCUAAGAUAAUGGGGAUGUGGUUCUUCAGAUAUUACACUAGUUGAGUAUCAAUCACAAUGAAAUCAACGGAAAAAUAAAAUUUGUCUACUUAAAUAAGUACAUCCUCCAUAAUACUGCGAGGUAUUUUCAUGGAUUGAUCUGCAAGUUGCAAUGCAACUGGAGUUAAGUGUAAUAUUCUCAGUCCAAGUUUCACAAACACUGAAUAAGAUAAAAUAUUUACACUAGCUCCUAAAUCCAACAAAACAUUGUCAAAUGUGUGAUUCCUUAUGCUAUAUGAGAUGUCAGGGCAGUUUAGGUCGUUGUAUUUUGAAGGAACUUUAUGGUGGAGUAUAGAACUAAAAUUUUCUGUUAAAAAUGCCUUCUUUUGAACAUGAACAAUUCUUUUUUUAGUAUAAAAAUCUUUGAGAAACUUGGUAUAAGAGAACACUUGUUUAAUAGCAUCAAGCAAAAGGAUGUUAAUAUUGACAUGUUUAAAGAUUUCAAUAAUAUCACCUGUGGUAUUUCCCUUCUUUACUUUAGCUAACCCUGAAGAAAAGGAGCUUUGGGGAUGUAUUUUCGUGGGUUGUUUUCUUCUUUCUCCUUUUAUGGAGAGUCUUCAAAGUCUAAGGAUACAACUUGAGUUGUUUUUGUCAUCGACAUUUCUACUUUAUUGUCAACUUUUUUGCCUUUUCGCAGGAUCAUGACGGCUUUGACCUCUUCAAAAUGUUGGGAUAAACUUGUACUCACUUCAUGCACUCUUUUAGGAUUAGGCACUGACUAGCUUAUGAAUUUUCCUUUUUCGACCAUCAUCGCCAAGGUUUGAAUUGAAAAAGUAAGUUCGCCCACCUUCUUUUCGAGGUUCGAAAUUGAUUGGGCUUGUGAAUUGAAGCCAAAUCUUAAUUGAUUGGUGUUGUGAAUUGAAGCCAACUCUUAUUUCAUUCCGCAGCUCACAAUUUUAUGAUUUUGUUGUUCUAUUGUGGUGUGAGUAAAAUUUUUUAGACUUUGGAAUGCCUUCUCCCAUGGUUUGACUUGUGAGUGGUUCUAGUUCUAAUUAUAUGGUCUAAUGGUAGUUGAGAUACUUGAAGAGUUUGAUGAACUUGUUGCAUUGGUGGAGCUGGAGCUGUUGUUCCGUUCUGUUAGAAUCCUUGAGACCACGAAAAGUUGGGAUAGUCUCUCCAUCUAGGAUUAUAAGUAUCAGAGUAAGGCUUGUAGUUUGACUGCUUUCCUAUCACAUUUAUGACAUUGGCUUGAUCUGGGUAUGAAUCAUAGUCAAAUUGGUUGUAGGCUUAUGACUCUGUUGACUUGGUAGUCGUCAACGAUGCUAUUUAGCAAGAAAGUCCUUCAAUUAUAUUUUUGACUUAUUUGAUUUCUGAUCUUGACUCGCCAAAAUGGAUUUCAUUUACUUCCUUGAUUCUUCUCAUAUUCCUAAAUGAUCGACUCUGCUAUUGGGAAUUACUAGCUUGUCGCUGGAAGAAAUUCAAAAUCUUAGAAUAAAAAAAAUACUAAUACAAGCAAUUCCUUACUUGAAAAGUUUGAUAUCACAUUUCAGAAUAAAAAUAAACAAAACAAAAGUUUCAUUACCCAAAUUCACAUGAACAUCAUCACCAACUUUGGUACCACAGAAUAAGGAUUCCCCUAAUUCCGCCGAGCCCCUUCACCUAUAAAAUUCUGCAACCCUCUUAGAAAAUGUAGAAGCAAAAUAAGUUUUUGUCUUGGCUGACAAUUCUAAGCAGCCCUAUAUAUGUUCUUGUACGUAUAAUACCAACAAACGCAUGAGAAGAUUUAUCAGACUUUUUGAAAUAUAUUUUAAGACUAAUAGGACCAUGAAUGUAAAUACCAACAAGAGCAUCGAAGGAAAAAGAAAGAAACACCACCAACCUCAAGAAAAUCUCUAUGCAUCUUUUCCUCUGCUACAAUAGCUUUAUCAAGAAUUCCACCUGAUGUUGCACUAGUGAAAAAAUUAUAUUCUAUGACUAAAUAAUUGGUACCUUUAAAGUUUACAGUUAACUAAAUUACUAAUGACGCUUAGGAGAUUCUCUCCACAAAUGACGAUUAAGAGAUUCUCUCCACAAAUUAUUCAAGAAAAAAUUACUAAUGACAAUUAACAGAUUCUCUCCACAAGUUAUUCAAGAAAUUUUUGCAGAUAAUAUCAAUUAGAUUUUGCAACAUUUUUUUAAUAUUCUUUUCAUUCCUACUGAAGUAUCAAACAAUACCAGCCACAAUGCAAACUCAUGGCAUUACUUGAGUAGUAACUUAACCAUUUGUCACAAGUUGUACAAGACUCUUCAAUCCAAAAGAGGGCUGAAUUGUAGACUAAAACCUAGGCCUAUUAUUAAAAGCCCAAAAGUGCACUAUUAACUAGAUUUGUAAAUUUCUUGAAUGCUAAAACUAAAAAGUUCAUUCAUAUGAAGUUAUAAGUUUUGGCCUCACUGUUCUACUCAUCCUUAUCUCGCUUAAUUUAGCUGAUUAAUAGAGCAGGUUCUAGAACACAACAAAUGUUUCUAAAAAUUGAUAAAUGACAAAAUUCUACAAUGAAUUAUUGUAAUACUAAGACACAAGAUUACCCAGAAAUGUAACAGAACUUUUAACAAACACAUGGAAUGCAAAGCCUAGAUCUAACAAAUGCAAAAAACAAAAAAAAAUCAUUAUGCAAGAGUUGGAAAAAUAUCUUAAUUAUAUUGUAUUUAGAUUUAUAAUCACACAUUGAAUAAGAGAAACAAUCAAACAAAACAAUAAUAUUGCAAAAAGACUUGAAACCCACAAAAAAAUCAUGCUUAGGGUUUCAAAGAGAUGAGAAUCGUGAAGCUCAUGUCGAAGAUAGUUGAGAUAACUACGAAGUUCAACAUCACUCACUAGAAAUCACUGAGAAAUAGGUAAAGCUUGUUAGCGAAUUAGUGUGAGUUUCUAGGAUUCUCGGUGGCUAGGGUUUGGGUUGUCGUCGACAGGUAAGGUUUGGUUUCAAUUUAAGACUAAAUUCAAUUCUGCUGUAGCAAAGAGAGACGACAACGGUUUACCGGCAAGCCAAUAACAGUGAGGGUUGUCAUUGUCGGUGAGGAGUGAGCUACGUUCGAGAUAGAAGCUUUAGAGUAGUGAGUGUGGUCUUAACAUGUUGAAAGAUUAAUAAGGGUAUGAAACAACG
rnacentral:lncRNA from 1 species